rnacentral:rRNA from 1 species
AGAGUUUGAUCCUGGCUCAGGAUGAACGCUGGCGGCGUGCCUAAUACAUGCAAGUCGAACGCAUAUCUUCGGAUAUGAGUGGCGAACGGGUGAGUAAUACAUAAGUAACCUGGCCUUAAGAGGGGGAUAACUAUUAGAAAUGAUAGCUAAGACCGCAUAGGUAUGAAGAUCGCAUGAUCGACAUAUUAAAUAUCCCACGGGAUAGCUGAAGGAUGGACUUAUGGCGCAUUAGCUAGUUGGUAGGGUAACGGCCUACCAAGGCGACGAUGCGUAGCCGACCUGAGAGGGUGGACGGCCACACUGGGACUGAGACACGGCCCAGACUCCUACGGGAGGCAGCAGUAGGGAAUUUUCGGCAAUGGGGGGAACCCUGACCGAGCAACGCCGCGUGAGGGAGGAAGUAUUUCGGUAUGUAAACCUCUGUUAUAAAGGAAGAACGGUGCAUGUAGGGAAUGACAUGCAAGUGACGGUACUUUAUGAGGAAGCCACGGCUAACUACGUGCCAGCAGCCGCGGUAAUACGUAGGUGGCGAGCGUUAUCCGGAAUUAUUGGGCGUAAAGAGGGAGCAGGCGGCAGCUAAGGUCUGCGGUGAAAGCCCGAAGCUAAACUUCGGUAAGCCGUGGAAACCGAGCAGCUAGAGUGCAGUAGAGGAUCGUGGAAUUCCAUGUGUAGCGGUGAAAUGCGUAGAUAUAUGGAGGAACAUCAGUGGCGAAGGCGACGAUCUGGGCUGCAACUGACGCUCAGUCCCGAAAGCGUGGGGAGCAAAUAGGAUUAGAUACCCUAGUAGUCCACGCCGUAAACGAUGAGUACUAAGUGUUGGGGGUCAAACCUCAGUGCUGCAGUUAACGCAAUAAGUACUCCGCCUGAGUAGUACGUUCGCAAGAAUGAAACUCAAAGGAAUUGACGGGGGCCCGCACAAGCGGUGGAGCAUGUGGUUUAAUUCGAAGCAACGCGAAGAACCUUACCAGGUCUUGACAUCGAUCUAAAGGAUCCAGAGAUGGAUAGAUAGUUAUAGAGAAGACAGGUGGUGCAUGGUUGUCGUCAGCUCGUGUCGUGAGAUGUUGGGUUAAGUCCCGCAACGAGCGCAACCCUUGUCGUUAGUUACCAGCAGUAAGAUGGGGACUCUAGCGAGACUGCCUCUGCAAGGAGGAGGAAGGCGGGGAUGACGUCAAAUCAUCAUGCCCCUUAUGACCUGGGCUACACACGUGCUACAAUGGACGGAUCAAAGGGAAGCGAAGCCGCGAGGUGAAGCGAAACUCAAAAACCCGUUCUCAGUUCGGACUGCAGUCUGCAACUCGACUGCACGAAGUUGGAAUCGCUAGUAAUCGCGAAUCAGAAUGUCGCGGUGAAUACGUUCUCGGGCCUUGUACACACCGCCCGUCACACCAUGAGAGUUGGUAACACCCGAAGCCGGUGGCCUAACCGCAAGGGAGGAGCUGUCUAAGGUGGGACUGAUGAUUGGGGUGAAGUCGUAACA